AGGGGCUGAAUGUAUAUUGUGCAGAUGUGCUAUGAAGAAAGAUUUGAUCAAUUUAACAAAAGCCUCAUCCAUUAUGUGGUGAUUAGUGUUGAUAUUGGAAAGAUUACUGUAGGAGCCACUUACUUUAAUUGAUGGCUAGUCAUAAUUACUUUUUGGACACUUGGUGGCGCUCAUUAGAGGCACUGGGUGAUAUAAACAGGGCAUAGGUAACAGGAAGGGGAGGACACAAAGACUGGGGGAGCUCACAGUUCUCACCAGACUAUCAGACUAGGAGGUCACAGACUAGCAGCAUGGAUCACACGAGAGAAGAACUAACUACAGGCGAACAUACACCUGAAUUCUCGGUGAAACCCCUCUUCCUGGUACCUCACCGGACCAUCUUCAUGUGAGGAACUAACUCCACUGACCAGAGAACAGGGCCUGUGAUGGGAGCUCACGACCAUCAAUGAAGACAGUCCCAGGAGCGCAUCUCUGCUUUUCUACGCAUUUCUGUCGUGCGUAAAAAAGCUGCGUACAGACGCGCUGGUCCACCCCGAGGCGCAAUGUGAAUCCCUGGAUAAUAGCAAGAAAAUAUGUAAUCUACAGAUGAGAGCAAACGGCUCGUACAUGUAAAGAGGACAAGAGAAAAACCUGUGCAACAGCAGCGUUACCGAGUGUCCAGUUAGACUCAGUGAGAUACAGGAUCAUGGCCAGGAAUAUCAAAAUAAAACCAUUUUCAUCAUA